UACGGAGGGUGCGAGCGUUAUCCGGAUUCACUGGGUUUAAAGGGUGCGUAGGUGGGUAUGUAAGUCAGUGGUGAAAUCUCUGAGCUUAACUCAGAAACUGCCAUUGAUACUAUGUUUCUUGAAUUUUCUGGAGGUCAGCGGAAUAUGUCAUGUAGCGGUGAAAUGCUUAGAUAUGACAUAGAACACCAAUUGCGAAGGCAGCUGGCUACAGUGAUAUUGACACUGAGGCACGAAAGCGUGGGGAUCAAACAGG
rnacentral:rRNA from 1 species